rnacentral:lncRNA from 1 species
GGUGCAAGCAGCAACACCGUAUGGUGGUAUCUAACAGAUUCACCCAUUUUCCCUUCUUAACUUCGUCUAAUCCCGAUAAUGUUUCCCUUCCAUGUUCACUAAUAUAAACAUGAAUUAAAUGCAUUUCACAAAUGAAAUAUUGUAGAAUCAUGGUUAAUUCAUGCACACUGAAUUGUAUGGUGGACACUCAUAUAUUUGUAUACUCUUAAACAUACUUAGCAUUU